rnacentral:rRNA from 1 species
GCGAUAGAUGGGCAUGCGGCGCAUUAGCUAGUCGGCGGGGUAACGGCCCACCGAGGCGACGAUGCGUAGGGGUUCUGAGAGGAAGGUCCCCCACACUGGUACUGAGACACGGACCAGACUCCUACGGGAGGCAGCAGUGAGGAAUAUUGGUCAAUGGGCGAGAGCCUGAACCAGCCAAGUCGCGUGAGGGACGACGGUCCUAUGGAUUGUAAACCUCUUUUGUCGGGGAGCAACGAGACCACGUGUGGUCGAAGGGAGAGUACCCGAAGAAAAAGCAUCGGCUAACUCCGUGCCAGCAGCCGCGGUAAUACGGAGGAUGCGAGCGUUAUCCGGAUUUAUUGGGUUUAAAGGGUGCGUAGGCGGAAGUUUAAGUCAGUGGUUAAACUGCGGGGCUCAACCCCGUAUCGCCAUUGAAACUGGAUUUCUAGAGUGGGUGAGAAGUACGCGGAAUGCGUGGUGUAGCGGUGAAAUGCAUAGAUAUCACGCAGAACUCCGAUUGCGAAGGCAGCGUACCGGCGCCCAACUGACGCUGAAGCACGAAAGCGUGGGUAUCGAACAGGAUUAGAUACCCUGGUAGUCCACGCAGUAAACGAUGAAUACUAAUUGUUCGGCAAGAGAGAUUGCUGAGUGAUACAGCGAAAGCGUUAAGUAUUCCACCUGGGGAGUACGCCGGCAACGGUGAAACUCAAAGGAAUUGACGGGGGCCCGCACAAGCGGAGGAACAUGUGGUUUAAUUCGAUGAUACGCGAGGAACCUUACCCGGGCUCAAACGACAGGGGAAUAUCAUGGAAACGUGAUAGCCAGCAAUGGUCGCUGUCGAGGUGCUGCAUGGUUGUCGUCAGCUCGUGCCGUGAGGUGUCGGCUUAAGUGCCAUAACGAGCGCAACCCCCAUUGAUAGUUGCUAACAGGUGAAGCUGAGGACUCUAUCGAGACUGCCGGCGCAAGCUGUGAGGAAGGCGGGGAUGACGUCAAAUCAGCACGGCCCUUACGUCCGGGGCGACACACGUGUUACAAUGGCAGGUACAGCGGGAAGCCAUAUGGCGACAUAGCGCAGAACCCGAAAACCUGUCUCAGUUCGGAUUGGAGUCUG